UACAGAGGGUGCAAGCGUUGUUCGGAAUUAUUGGGCGUAAAGCGCGUGUAGGCGGCUUUGCAAGUCGGGUGUGAAAGCCCUCAGCUCAACUGAGGAAGUGCGCCCGAAACUGCAGAGCUUGAGUGCCGGAGAGGGUGGCGGAAUUCCCCAAGUAGAGGUGAAAUUCGUAGAUAUGGGGAGGAACACCGGUAGCGAAGGCGGCCACCUGGACGGUAACUGACGCUGAGACGCGAAAGCGUGGGGAGCAAACAGG
rnacentral:rRNA from 1 species